GGGCCCGUAGCUCAACGGUAGAGCAAUUGCCUCUUAAGCAAUCGGUUGAGAGUUCGAAUCUCUCCGGGCUCA
rnacentral:tRNA from 1 species